rnacentral:rRNA from 1 species
CCUACGGGAGGCUGCAGUGGGGAAUAUUGGACAAUGGGCGAAAGCCUGAUCCAGCAAUACCGCGUGUGUGAAGAAGGCCUGAGGGUUGUAAAGCACUUUCAAUUGGGAGGAAAAAAGUAAGGCCAAUACCCUUGCUCUUGACAUUACCUUUAGAAGAAGCACCGGCUAACUCCGUGCCAGCAGCCGCGGUAAUACGGAGGGUGCAAGCGUUAAUCGGAAUUACUGGGCGUAAAGCGUGCGUAGGCGGUUAUUUAAGUCAGAUGUGAAAGCCCUGGGCUUAACCUGGGAACUGCAUUUGAUACUGGGUAACUAGAGUUUAAUAGAGGAGAGUGGAAUUUCAGGUGUAGCGGUGAAAUGCGUAGAGAUCUGAAGGAACACCAGUGGCGAAGGCGGCUCUCUGGAUUAAAACUGACGCUGAGGUACGAAAGCGUGGGUAGCAAACAGGCUUAGAUACCCCAGUAGUC